rnacentral:rRNA from 1 species
UGGGGAAUUUUGGACAAUGGGCGAAAGCCUGAUCCAGCAAUGCCGCGUGUGUGAAGAAGGCCUUCGGGUUGUAAAGCACUUUUGUCCGGAAAGAAAUCCUUGGCUCUAAUACAGUCGGGGGAUGACGGUACCGGAAGAAUAAGCACCGGCUAACUACGUGCCAGCAGCCGCGGUAAAUACGUANGGUGCAAGCGUUAAUCGGAAUUACUGGGCGUAAAGCGUGCGCAGGCGGUUUACUAAGACCGAUGUGAAAUCCCCGGGCUCAACCUGGGAACUGCAUUGGUGACUGGCAGGCUAGAGUAUGGCAGAGGGGGGUAGAAUUCCACGUGUAGCAGUGAAAUGCGUAGAGAUGUGGAGGAAUACCGAUGGCGAAGGCAGCCCCCUGGGCCAAUACUGACGCUCAUGCACGAAAGCNUGGGGAGCAAAACAGGAUUAGAUACCCUGGUAGUCCACGCCCUAAAACGAUGUC